AGAGUUUGAUCCUGGCUCAGAUUGAACGCUGGCGGCAUGCCUUACACAUGCAAGUCGAACGACAGCACGGGAGCAAUCCUGGUGGCGAGUGGCGAACGGGUGAGUAAUAUAUCGGAACGUGCCCAGUCGUGGGGGAUAACGUAGAGAAAUUUACGCUAAUACCGCAUACGAUCUAAGGAUGAAAGCGGGGGACUCGCAAGGGCCUCGCGCGAUUGGAGCGGCUGAUAUCAGAUUAGGUUGUUGGUGAGGUAAAAGCUCACCAAGCCGACGAUCUGUAGCUGGUUUGAGAGAACGACCAGCCACACUGGGAGUGAGACACGGCCCAGACUCCUACGGGAGGCAGCAGUGGGGAAUUUUGGACAAUGGGCGAAAGCCUGAUCCAGCAAUGCCGCGUGCAGGAAGAAGGCCUUCGGGUUGU
rnacentral:rRNA from 1 species